rnacentral:misc_RNA from 1 species
AAGGGAAGAACGGAAUUUAUAAAAACCGACCCCAUUACUGUUGCUACAGAAAAGAGAGGGAAAAGUUGAAGUCGGAGAUAGCGGCUGAGUUGCCAUUCUUAUCUAAAGCUCACUGUGAGAGUUUCGUUAUCAAUUAUCAUUUCCAAGUCUUCGUGGUUAUGGUUUUUGGUCGACUUUUAGGAGCCAGAGUGGGAAGGUGGGGAAGAGAGAGAAAGGGAGGAAAAAAU